GGUGGCCUAGUGGUUAGAGCGUCCGCCUCGGAUGCGGGAGGUGGUAUGUUCUAUCCCUGGUCGAUUCUUACCAAAGACU